rnacentral:rRNA from 1 species
GUGACAGCCCCGUACGCGAACCCAGACCGGACGGCGCGACGCGGUCCCUGAGUAGGGCCGGGCACGUGAAACCCGGUCCGAACCUGGGUGGACCACCAUCCAAGCCUGAGUACUACCCUGUGACCGAUAGCGCACCAGUACCGUGAGGGAAAGGUGAAAAGCACCCCGGGAGGGGAGUGAAACAGUACCUGAAACCGUGCGCCCACGAGCAGUCGGAGCACCUUUAUGGUGUGACGGCGUGCCUUUUGUAGAAUGAGCCAGCGAGUCGCUGGCGCGGGGCGAGGUUAACCGAAAGGGAGCCGAAGCGAAAGCGAGCCUUAACAGGGCGACUUGAGUCCCGCGCCGCGGACGCGAAGCCGGGUGAGCUAUCCGUGGGCAGGCUGAAGCGGGGGUAAGACCCCGUGGAGGGCCGAACGCACGUCGGUUGAAAACGGCGGCGAUGACCUGCGGAUAGGGGUGAAAGGCCAAUCAAACCCGGAGAUAUCUCGUUCUCCCCGAAAUAGCUUUAGGGCUAGCGUCGCGCGUUCACCGCCGGAGGUAGAGCACCGGAUGGACGAGGGGGCUUCGCCGCCUACCGAAUCCAACCGAACUCCGAAUGCCGGCGGCCCAGAGCGCGGCAGUCAGAGCAUGUGGGCUAAGCUGUGUGCUCGAGAGGGAAACAGCCCGGACCGCCCGCUAAGGUCCCCAAGUUCCAGCCGAGUGGCAAAGGAUGUGCGUCCGCCCAGACAACCAGGAUGUUGGCUUAGAAGCAGCCAUACAUUCAAAGAGUGCGUAACAGCUCACUGGUCGAGUGGACAUGCGCCGACAAUACACGGGGCUAAGCUGGACACCGAAGCGGCGGGAUUUUAAUUCAUUAGAAUCGGUAGGGGAGCUUCCCAUGGGCGGAGAAGCCGGAGGGCGACCGACGGUGGAGCGCAUGGGAGUGAGAAUGCUGGCAUGAGUAGCGAGAGACGAGAGAGUAACUCGUCCGCCGUGAACCCGAGGUUUCCUGGGCAAGGCUAAUCCUCCCAGGGUCAGUCGGGGGCUAAGGCGAGGCCGGGAGGCGUAGCCGACGCGCAGCAGGCAGACAUUCCUGCACCGCGCACGCGGCGCUACGACCGACGGGGCGACGGAUGGGGGUGGCUCGGCGGGGUUCUGGACGUCCCCGUGAUGGAGCGCGGCCCGCGGACCAGGGAAAUCCGGUCCGCAUUGAGGGCGAGGCUCCGGACGAAGCGACUGAGCGAAGCGAGUGAGCCCGAGGUCCCUAGAAAAACCCCUAGGCAGGCGCGUGCGCGCCCGUACCGCAAACCGACACAGGUGGGUGGGUAGAACAUACCGAGGCGAUCGGGUCAACCAUGGUCAAGGAACUCGGCACAAUGGCCCCGUAACUUCGGGAGAAGGGGUGCCCGCGCGUACGUGAAGGGACUAGCUCCCCGAGCGGAGGCGGGCCGCAGUGAAGAGGCCCAAGCGACUGUUUACCAAAAACACAGGACUCUGCAGAAGCCGCAAGGCGACGUAUAGGGUCUGACGCCUGCCCGGUGCCGGAAGGUCACGCGGAGGAGUUAGCCGAUUCGGCGAAGCCCCGAAGCCAAGCCCCGGUAAACGGCGGCCGUAACUAUAACGGUCCUAAGGUAGCGAAAUUCCUUGUCGGGUAAGUUCCGACCUGCACGAAAGGCGCAACGACUUGGGCGCUGUCUCGACCAUGGACCCGGUGAAAUUGCACUGGUCGUGAAGAUGCGACUUACCCGCGGAAGGACGGAAAGACCCCGUGAACCUUCACUGCAGCUUGGCAUUGGCCGCUGGUCCCGCGUGUAGAGGAUAGGCAGGAGGCACAGAUCCGGAGGCGCCAGCCCCCGGGGAGCCGCCCUUGAAAUACUGCCCUCGCGCGACCGGCGUCCUAACCCGAGGCCGUCAACCGGCUCGGGG